AUGCUUACCUGGCAGGGGAAAUACCAUCAUCGCGAAGGGGGUUUCCCAGGGCGAGGCUUAUCCAUUGCACUCCGGAUGUAGGAAACUCGACUGCAUAAUUUGUGGUAGUAGGGGACUGUGUUUGCGCUUUCCCCUG
ensembl:snRNA U1 U1 spliceosomal RNA